rnacentral:misc_RNA from 1 species
UGCAAUCGCUUUAAUCACUUUCGCUGUGAAGCGCAAGAUUUAAAUCCAACGGUUAUUUGAUUUCCUUCGUAGAAGUACGACGCCGUUUAAAGUGGUGCACACGACGGGGUGUACCAAGGUUGAUGAGUCCGUGUUCUACAGGCUGGAAUUAGAUUGGAUUUUUGGAGCGGUGGCCAACAGUUUUUAGAAAUAGCAACUUGUUCCGAGCGUUAUAAAGCAGCUUGUAAGGGUAAAUUAUAGAUAAUUUACCUCAGUUUGGAAGUGUUUAACAAUAAGAUAGAUAAACUUUACUUUAUA